AUCUCCCCAUAGGUACUUUUUAAAGUAAAUUCAUAUCAAUAUUUGGUAUUAUUAUAGAGCAGAUUUAGUUAAAAACACCCAUUGGGAGCUCAGUAGAUCUUGUUUUGCUACUUAAAACAGGGAAUUCCAUCAAAUGACAUGAAAGUUUAGAAAUGUAUUUGUUAUUUAAAGCAAUAGUGAUUGUAUUUUAUUUGAGUAAUGUUUUUUUACAUGUAGAAUCCCUCAGAGGCCAAACCUCUUUAUUGUGGUUUUGCUUUGAGUGUUACCGUAGAUGAUGUUAAAGUAAUGACUAGGAAACUCCUAAGAACUUGAGAACUUUACUGGUGAAGAGAAACAAAUUCAGAAGUUUACAUCCAGUGUAUUGCUGGGAAUAAUUAUCUCAUAACAAAGUGCAUUUCAGUUUCUAUAUGUAUUUAAAAAAAAACUGACUCAUCAACUUUUGCAAGCACGUGGAAGGUGUUGAUUUUA
rnacentral:lncRNA from 1 species